CCCGCCCCCGACAGCCGCGGGAACAGCAUGAUAAGCGCCUGGCGCUCUACUCUGGCGACCCUUCAACGUUUCUUGCGGGUGAGUGUUCCCACAGGACUGCGACUACACGCGUUAAAAGUUUCUCAAAAGUUGACGUCAAACCAGAAACAAAAACAACUGCGCGUAUACUAAGUAUGUAAAAAUUACCAACAACAAACACAGCUGGAGCAUAAUAUUUUCUUGUAAUUAUAAAUGAUCCUUUUAGUUCACGUCAGAAAGGUAAUGUGCCGAUGUCGUAACAAGGUUUGGAGGGAGGCACAUAUCACGCAGCUGCGUGAACACCCAAUCAUCAUGCUCAUGAACUACAAAAGGAUCAGUUUGGUUAGCUGAUUAAGGAACUCCAGACACGGCCCACUAACUUUUCACGAAGGAUGACAGAUGUAGGGUUUAUUUAUUUAUACUUGCAUAUAAAAUCCUGUACAUUUUAUCACCGUCACCGACGUUCCGUGAUAUUUCUUUUGUUUCUACUUUAGUAGUCGGAAACAGAAAGAAAAUAUCUAGGAGGGUUAUUCCCCAUGCAAAAAUCCUCCUCAUGGCUCCGCCCUUUUUGACCCUAGGACGGCAUUGCUUUACGAUCGUCCGUCGUGAAAUGAUGGAGCGUUGCCGCUGUAAUGGCGGAAGCUAGCCUUCUGCUUUGCGGCAGCGACGCUGGCUGAGUCGGAUCCUGACACGCCCAGGCGCGCCGGAAGGGCUUCAGGUAACGGUGGCCGUGGGAGUGUCGUGCGUAUGGGGUUUAUUUCUUAAACUCUUUUUUUUUUUUUUAAGUCUUCAGAAAGGCCAGAGUAACUUCCCCCCCUCCAUUUUUGGAAUCAGACUCUGUUACUUCCAGAGAUACCUCUUUCUCGCAUCUUUUCCUUUAUAUCUUUACUCUUCUGCCGGUUAGACCAUCUCUCCCCGCUGUCCUCCUAGACGUCUCACCGGGUUUUUUUUUUUUUUCUUCUGUGCUUUUCGAGAAUCCCAGCCCACGAGGUGAUCUUUCCUCCCGCUCUGUAGCGGAUCCCCGGCCGCCUCCGUCCUCCGCGUUCUCGGUCUGAGGGAUGGAGUCUCACGGCCCUCGGGAAUCCCCGGGGGGGCCUUGGGAGGGUUCUUCCUUGCCCGGAGCGUGGCCUUCCUCCGCCCUCGGGCAGGCCUUCUCCCAGAUCUUGCACCAGUUUGCCGGCCAGGAAUCCCGACGGGGCAAGGCCAGAAAUGCAGCUCUUGAGGACCUCGCUGCUCUGCUCGAAGCUAAAGAAUGUGAUCGGUUAUUUGAGGGGAGUGACGCCUCGCUCCGCGGAAUGCCCGAGAUGCUGGGGCAGGUGGUAAAAGCCCUGGAGAAAUAUGCAGCCCCUGCCGAGGAGCCGGAAGGAAGAGGUGACCGCCACCCCGAAGUGGCGGAGAAAGCGGCGGCAGUUGCGUUACUGUUUCUAAAGCUCUUGAGGAAGGUCGAGGCCGCCAAGAAUUCCUUGGUUUGCCCUGCAUGGAAGACAAGCCUCCGUCCCUUGGCAGGACCCAUCUAUGUUUUUGCGGUCACACACAGCUUGGAGCAACCGUGGACCAGCCAAAGAUCUCAAGAGGUCGCUGGACAGGUGCUCGCUUUAUUGCUUCAGGUCACUGAUUGUGGUUGUGUGGCUGGAUUCCUCCACGGAGAAAAUGAAGACGAGAAAGGGAGAUUUAGUGCGAUCAUGGGGUUUCUCAAACCCGAUUUGAAUAAGGACUCCUGGAAGAAUAACCCGGCCACCAAAUACGUUUUCUCAUGGACUUUGCAAAAGGUCACUCGACCCUGGCUGAGCCAACAUCUGGAGAGAAUACUUCCUCCAUCAUUGCUCAUCUCAGAUGACUAUCAGACUGAAAACAAAAUCCUGGGUGUUCACUGCCUCCAUCACAUUGUGCUUAAUGUGCCAGCUGCGGACUUGCUGCAGUACAACAGGGCCCAGGUCGUCUACCACGCCCUUUUCAGCCACCUGCACACACGGGAGCACCUCCUCAUUCAGGCUGUGCUCCUGUGUCUGCUGGAUUUAUUCCCCGUCCUGGAGAAAGCCCUACACUGGAAGGGAGAUGGGGCCCGACCCACCACACACUGUGACGAGGUCCUGCAGCUGAUUCUGACGCACAUGGAACCCGAGCACCGCCUUCUCUUACGCAGGACUUACGCGAGAACCCUGCCAGCUUUUGUGAAGAGGUUGGGGAUCUUAACUGUCCGACACUUGAAAAGGCUGGAGCGAGUUAUCAUUGGUUACCUGGAGGUAUAUGAUGGACCCGAGGAGGAGGCCAGAUUGAAGAUACUGGAAACCCUGAAACUUCUCCUGCAGUAUGCUUGGCCCAGAGUCUCCUGUAGACUUGUGGUCUUACUGAAGGCCCUCUUGAAACUGAUAUGUGACGUAGCAAGGGAUUCAAGCCUCACACCCGAGUGUGUUAAGAGCGCCUUGUUGGAAGAGGCCACAGACUGCCUGAUUCUUCUGGACCACUGCUCUUCAGGACGGGUAAAGGGUCUCCUGGCUAAAAUCCUCCACAGUUGUGAAGACAGUCAGGUGGGGAGCUGCAUCCGAAGAGUGCAACAGCUUUCUGAAGGUGCUCCCUGUGAUGCAACUUAAGACUUGUAUUACUUUCCUGAAAAGAAAAGGAUUUUCUUUCUCUUCCAGUUGUUUUAAGUGGAAUUAUUUCAGGCAAAAGCAUCUGAAGAGUCACUCUCUGCCUCCUGCUGUUCCAGGGCCUUAUCGAAGGCGUGGAUGGGGAAGUUGUAGAUGUCACCGUACUGAAGAAAAGAAACAUGGGUCAGCUUUCGCCACGUUUGACCUUAUGCUUAAAGUCCACUGUCCAACCAGCAUAUUAUUUUCCUCAGUGAUUAAAUAGGAACAUUUAGUUUGACAAGUAAUAGUACUAUAUUAUGUUCAAGCCUAGAGCCAGUGGUUUCUUUAAAAAACCCACAUUUGACAUUUAAAUAAUCAGCAAUACCAAACUGGUAACUUCUAUGAAAGAUGGACACCAAAUCAGUUAAAAUAUAGUAGUAUAUAAAACCCAUGGAUUGAAACAAAUGUAGUUUUGCCAACAAAGGGGAAAUAAGAUUUAAAAAGCAUAUUUUAUUCAUGUUGUCUCUUUAAAUAACAUCCAUUUUUCAAAAGAAUAAAAAUUCAUUUUAAAGAACCUUAAAAGACUAGGAUGAAUAAGCAGAAGGAUCAAAGCUGUGUGGCUUUUGUAGAGACCUAGAAUUGCUGUGUUUGGAGGAGGAGUUGGGAAUAAUGGCAAAAAAGGAAAGGUCUCCAAACUGGAGUAUCAAGGGUUAACUGCAGUAGUUUACAUGCUUGCAUUAGCCAGAGCUAAUAUGAUAUUUAUUUUAUUCCAAGAAUAAAAUCGAGGUAAGGCACUUUCUAACAUCUUUAAAAAUAAAACCCAUUUCCAACUAGUCCCAUGUCUCCUGGCACAUUACCUAGCACCUAAAAAAUAAAAUCUGCACCCCAGA